UACGGAGGGUGCAAGGCGUUAUCCGGAUUCACUGGGUUUAAAGGGUGCGUAGGUGGGCAGGUAAGUCAGUGGUGAAAUCUCCGGGCUUAACCCGGAACUGACCGUUGAUACUAUCUGUCUUGAAUGUAGUGGAGGUGAGCGGAAUAUGUCAUGUAGCGGUGAAAUGCUUAGAUAUGACAUAAGAACAUCGAAUUGCGAAGGCAGCUCGCUACACUAUGAUUGACACUUGAGGCACGAAAGCGUGGGGGAUCAAACAGGAUUAGAAAACCCGGGUGA
rnacentral:rRNA from 1 species